rnacentral:sRNA from 1 species
UGUUGUCUGCACACAACUCAUCAGGUACUUUGUCAAAUGGAAAAGUGUACACCCGUCUUCCUCCUUUCAAGCCGUCGGCAUCAAGGUGCUCAGAGCCCACAGUGAGCCCGACGUCUAAUCUUCCAGUUCACAAAACAGAUAACUUUUAGGGAUAGCUCGAUUCACAAUUUUUUAACCUUUAAUUUUUCAGGUUUUUUUUUGGUCUUAGCGGCCCCGAGUUCAUAUAUCUCAACGCUAGUUAACGAGUCUCCUUGGAAUCUCGUUUCCCGCUUGUGUGCGUGUGCCGAAUAUCAGUUUAAUACGGGAAUGGUUGGAAAAGGUGCAAUACUUUCUUGUUAUUAUUCCUGCACGGAUCUCCUAUGUCUAGAAAUGUGAGAUAUUGUCUCUCUUAUGUCAAAGACACGGUUGGAUUUGAUUCGUUUUUGCUGCGCAAUUACAUGCACAAAAUCGUGUACUCCUUUCCUUUACUCGC